rnacentral:rRNA from 1 species
CCUACGGGAGGCAGCAGUGGGGAAUAUUGCACAAUGGGGGAAACCCUGAUGCAGCGACGCCGCGUGAGUGAAGAAGUAUUUCGGUACGUAAAGCUCUAUCAGCAGGGAAGAAAAUGACGGUACCUGACUAAGAAGCCCCGGCUAACUACGUGCCAGCAGCCGCGGUAAUACGUAGGGGGCAAGCGUUAUCCGGAUUUACUGGGUGUAAAGGGAGCGUAGACGGCAGCGCAAGUCUGGAGUGAAAUCCCAUGGCUUAACCAUGGAACUGCUUUGGAAACUGUGCAGCUAGAGUGCAGGAGAGGUAAGCGGAAUUCCUAGUGUAGCGGUGAAAUGCGUAGAGAUUAGGAGGAACACCAGUGGCGAAGGCGGCUUACUGGACUGUAACUGACGUGGAGGCUCGAAAGCGUGGGGAGCAAACAGGAUUAGAUACCCGGGUAGUC